GAUCCUGGCUCAGGAUGAACGCUAGCUACAGGCUUAACACAUGCAAGUCGAGGGAAACGACAUCGAAAGCUUGCUUUUGAUGGGCGUCGACCGGCGCACGGGUGAGUAACGCGUAUCCAACCUGCCCAUCACUUGGGGAUAACCUUGCGAAAGUAAGACUAAUACCCAAUGACGUCUCUAGAAGACAUCUGAAAGAGAUUAAAGAUUUAUCGGNGAUGGAUGGGGAUGCGUCUGAUUAG
rnacentral:rRNA from 1 species